rnacentral:rRNA from 1 species
UGGGGAAUUUUGGACAAUGGGCGCAAGCCUGAUCCAGCCAUGCCGCGUGCGGGAAGAAGGCCUUCGGGUUGUAAACCGCUUUUGUCAGGGAAGAAAAGGUUCUGGUUAAUACCUGGGACUCAUGACGGUACCUGAAGAAUAAGCACCGGCUAACUACGUGCCAGCAGCCGCGGUAAUACGUAGGGUGCAAGCGUUAAUCGGAAUUACUGGGCGUAAAGCGUGCGCAGGCGGUUAUGCAAGACAGAGGUGAAAUCCCCGGGCUCAACCUGGGAACUGCCUUUGUGACUGCAUGGCUAGAGUACGGUAGAGGGGGAUGGAAUUCCGCGUGUAGCAGUGAAAUGCGUAGAUAUGCGGAGGAACACCGAUGGCGAAGGCAAUCCCCUGGACCUGUACUGACGCUCAUGCACGAAAGCGUGGGGAGCAAACA